GACGAACGCUGGCGGCGUGCCUAAUACAUGCAAGUAGAACGCUGAAGAGAGGAGCUUGCUCUUCUUGGAUGAGUUGCGAACGGGUGAGUAACGCGUAGGUAACCUGCCUGGUAGCGGGGGAUGACUAUUGGAAACGAUAGCUAAUACCGCAUAAAAUGGAUUAUCGCAUGAUAAUCCAUUGAAAGGUGCAAAUGCAUCACUACCAGAUGGACCUGCGUUGUAUUAGCUAGUUGGUGGGGUAACGGCUCACCAAGGCGACGAUACAUAGCCGACCUGAGAGGGUGAUCGGCCACACUGGGACUGAGGCACGGCCCAGACUCCUACGGGAGGCAGCAGUAGGGAAUCUUCGGCAAUGGACGGAAGUCUGACCGAGCAACGCCGCGUGAGUGAAGAAGGUUUUCGGAUCGUAAAGCUCUGUUGUAAGAGAAGAACGAGUGUGAGAGUGGAAAGUUCACACUGUGACGGUAUCUUACCAGAAAGGGACGGCUAACUACGUG
rnacentral:rRNA from 1 species